CCUACGGGUGGCAGCAGUGGGGAAUAUUGCACAAUGGGGGAAACCCUGAUGCAGCGACGCCGCGUGAAGGAAGAAGUAUUUCGGUAUGUAAACUUCUAUCAGCAGGGAAGAAAAUGACGGUACCUGACUAAGAAGCCCCGGCUAACUCCGUGCCAGCCGCCGCGGUAAUACGUAGGGGGCAAGCGUUAUCCGGAUUUACUGGGUGUAAAGGGAGCGUAGGCGGUUUAGCAAGUCAGAAGUGAAAGCCCGGGGCUCAACUCCGGGACUGCUUUUGAAACUGUUGAACUAGAGUGCAGGAGAGGUAAGUGGAAUUCCUGGUGUAGCGGUGAAAUGCGUAGAUAUCAGGAGGAACACCAGUGGCGAAGGCGGCUUACUGGACUGUAAAUGACGCUGAGGCUCGAAAGCGUGGGGAGCAAACAGGAUUAGAUACCCUUGUAGUC
rnacentral:rRNA from 1 species